AUAUUGGUUGGCCUUUUGGUUGACAAUCCAUUUAAAUGUCUACAUUCCAUUUCAUUAAUAUACAUACUCAUUCAGCAUGACUUUUGCUAACGUCGUCGUCGUCGCCGCCGCCAUAUAUUAAAUGGAUUUUUGGGACAGGGAGAUGGAAGAAGAGCUUGCUCUGUCCACUCCACGCAUUGACCUGGUAUUGCAGUACCUCCAGGACCGGUGCACCUCUC